rfam:Sodalis sp. TME1 V4_final_sodalis.fa.Contig32, whole genome shotgun sequence.
AAUAAUGGUGGGCUGGAUGGGGGAGCCGCAAGGCUCGCCGGGUCCUUUGUAGCCGGUAAGGUCAACCUCAUCCAGCUCACCACCCAA